AUGGUGAGUCAUCCCGCAACAUGUUUAGAUGGGUCUGACAGUGAUCAUACUUUAGAACCAAAACCAGCCGACGUUGGCAGUGGGAUGCAACAGCAGCACCAAGAGCCUGGUCCGUAUCAGAAGAAGGUUAGUCUGGAGCAUAACGUGCAGAAUUGUGGAAAUAAAGUACCUCUUGUGACCUCUAGUGCUGGUCAAAAAUUUGGUUCAGUUAGCACGCAUACCAAUUCAGCUAUGGGAAACAUUACCUCUGGAGCAUCAGUGUGUGCACCUCCAACGGGAUUCAAGUCUAGUACUGGCACAACUACACAAUGGUGGAAUCCAAAUAACAGUGGAAGCCAGAAAAUUGCAAAUCCAGGUGCAUCUGAUUUGGAACCUGUGCACACACGUUCAGAGAAGACUGUACGUACUAGUACUGGUGAGUCGGCUGAUGCAUUUGCGAAUCUACAUGCAAGAGGCAAAAGAAGAUUUCAGACGGAUGUUACAUCUGAUCAGCAGAGAGUUAUUUCGGCUAAGGGAAAAAUAUUUGUCCCACGGACAGCAAUACGUCAGUAUAGGCUGAGAAACUAG
rnacentral:rRNA from 1 species